GAAGCAACCCAACGUGUGAAACAAAAAGGGGCCUGUUGUUGGCCCACGCUUGAAUACAAAAUCAACGGGAAACGCUCGUCGUGUUCUUCUUCUUCUUUCUUUCUUCUCGGGAACUCCUUUCUCUCUCCCUUUUUUUCUUCAUAUUUAUUCUUCUCCUCUGUCUCCACUCCUACACAUCCCUCCUCUCUCUCUCUCUCUGUCUCUCUCUCUCUUCAAUCACUUUCUCACCUCCUGCAUUCUCUACAGCAAAUGGUAACCAAAAACAAGAAGAAGAAGAAGAGAUUAACACCCCGCCUCCACUGCAACAGAUAUGUACAGUUUCUACAGUUCCUUUCAUCAUUCUAAUGAAUCAUUCUCAGAGAGUUUCGUCUCCUGUGAGUUCUUCAUCGGACCAUAAUAUUUGGUGGCGUACAUGGGAAAGCCAGGCAUUUCUUACCCUACUUGAUUUUGUUCUUAUUCUUCCUGUUCUUGAUCUCGUUUUCAUGUUUCUUUUUCCUUUUUUUUUUAUGGGUUUUUAAUUUAAAUAUGGAGGGAUAAAGAGAUAUUUAAUUACAAGAAAUAUAUGUAAACUGUUUUUGUUAGAAAUUGUCAAUGCAGAUUCAUAGCCAAUUAAUAAGGUUUUGGCUGGUUGGUUUCCCAGGUCUCUCUCCUUGCAUGUUAUGUUAUUUUCUUUUCUUUUCUUUUUCCAGUAAUUUAUUCAAUGUGUCAUUUUGUUUUCUCAUAAUAAUAAUAAUAAUAAUAAUAAUAAUAAUAACAACAUUUCU
rnacentral:lncRNA from 1 species